GGAAUUGUUCGCAAUGGGCGCAAGCCUGACGACGCAACGCCGCGUGGAGGACGAAGAUCUUCGGGUCGUAAACUCCUGUCGAGCGGGACGAACACCUUCCGGGUGAACAAUCCGGGAGGCUGACGGUACCGCCAAAGGAAGCCCCGGCUAACUCCGUUCCAGCAGCCGCGGUAAUACGGGGGGGGCAAGCGUUGUUCGGAAUUCCUGGGCGUAAAGGGCGCGUAGGCGGCCAACUAAGUCGGACGUGAAAUCCCCCGGCUCAACCGGGGAACUGCGUCCGAUACUGGAUGGCUUGAAUCCGGGAGAGGGAUGCGGAAUUCCAGGUGUAGCGGUGAAAUGCGUAGAUAUCUGGAGGAACACCGGUGGCGAAGGCGGCAUCCUGGACCGGCAUUGACGCUGAGGAGCGAAAGCCAGGGGAGCAAAC
rnacentral:rRNA from 1 species